GUGGGUUUGUAAGUCGGGCGUGAAAUCCCUCGGCUUAACCGAGGAACUGCGUCCGAAACUGCAUGGCUUGAGGACGGAAGGGGAAGGUGGAAUUCCUAGUGGAGCGGUGAAAUGCGUAGAUAUCAGGAGGAACGCCGGUGGCGAAAGCGGCCUUCUGGUCCGUUUCUGACGCUGAGGUGCGAAAGCUAGGGGAGCAAACAGGAUUAGAUACCCUGGUAGUCCUAGCCGUAAACGAUGGGCACUAAGUAGAGGGG
rnacentral:rRNA from 1 species